CACGUAGGGUGCGAGCGUUGUCCGGAAUUAUUGGGCGUAAAGAGCUCGUAGGCGGUGUGUCGCGUCGGCCGUGAAAACCUGCAGCUUAACUGUGGGCUUGCGGUCGAUACGGGCAUCACUGGAGUUCGGCAGGGGAGACUGGAAUUCCUGGUGUAGCGGUGAAAUGCGCAGAUAUCAGGAGGAACACCGGUGGCGAAAGGCGGGUCUCUGG
rnacentral:rRNA from 1 species